GUUGAAUUUUGUGCAUAGAGAGAGAUAAGGGCUCAAUUUCAUUUUGCUGCAUAUGAAUAUCCAGUUUCCCAAGCACCAUUUGUUGAAAAGGCCAUCUUUUCUUCAAUGUGUGUUUUGGGCACCUUAGUCAAUUGUAUUUAUGUGGGUUAGUCUCUGUGUCCUGUAUUCUGUACCAUCAGUCAACAUGUCUGUUUUGGUGUCCAUACCAUGCUGUUUUUGGUACUGUGGCUUGUAGUAUAGUUUAAGGUCUGGUGUUGUGAUGCCUCCUGCUUCACUCUUCUUGCUAAGAAUUCAUUUGGUUAUUCUGGGUCUCUUAUUUUUCCAAAUUUAUUUCAUGAUUCCUUUUUUAAAUUCCUAUGAGGUAUGACAUGGGAUUUUUUUUUUUGUAGAUGGACACAAUACCUUUACAUUACUUAUUUAUUUUUAUGUGGUGCUGAGGAUUGAACACAGUGCCUCAUGCAUGCUAGACUUGUGCUCUACCACUGAGCCUCAACCCUAGCCCAAGACAUUGAGAUUUUAAUUUAUGUCAUAUUGAAUCUGUGUAGUGCUUUUGGUAAUAUGGCUAUUAAUUCUGCCUAUCUAAGAGCAUGGGAGAUCUUUCCGUCUUCUAAGGUCUUCUUCAAUUUCUUUCUUUAGUGUUCUGUAGUUUUCCCUGUAGAAGUCUUUCAUUUCUUUUGUUAAAUUGAUUCCCAAGGUUUUUUGUUUUGUUUUGUUUUUGAGGCUAUUAUGAAUGGGGUGGUUUUCUUCGUUUCUCUUUCAGAGGUGAAUCCUGCUUUUGUUGAUUCAAAUAUUUGUCUUGGCUCACUUCUAAGUUUUGGAAAUAUCCAGGGUAGUGUUCUUGUCUGUGGAUAUUUGCAGGGUGAAUUUGUAUGGGAGAGGCUGGAUGAAGCUGAAGUGCUCCUACUUGCCUACCUUCCUGAUGUCAUCCACAAUAAUUAUCUUUAAAUUGUUAAUGUACAUGUAAGUUAAUUUUGUUAUUUAUAUUUUCUUACUUUUCAAAUGGUGUGUGAUCAGUAUGAAUUAAUUUUAUUGUCAGAAAUUACAAUAAUUGCUUAUAAACCAUCCAUUUAGCGUCUGGUCCUUUCUAUUUUUUUUUCUGAAUAUCC
rnacentral:lncRNA from 1 species